CAGGAAGAGCGACUAAAGACAAAAAAGAUGGAUUUACCCAAUUAUCCCCUACCCAACAUUUGAUGUUAUGUAUUGCGUUUUAAUGGAUAAUGACCUUAAUCCUCUAUGUCACAUAAAUGGAUUACAAUUGCAAGGCCGAAGAAGGAAUGCUACUAAACAGCCAAUAGUGGCAGCAUUCGGAGGGAAAAAUAGGAACUACUCUGUCUUGUAUCCUUUCUCAAGAACCGACCUUCCUUCAUGUCUAAUCAGAGAGAUUCCAUCACAAUCACUUGGUAUAAAUCCACAAGGACUCAGAUCACUCUCCACUCACUGCCUUGCACUGGUGAAGGGCAGACCAGCUCCAAGGAGCUGAAUUACACAGAGGUCUGGCAGCAAGGAAACGUACAGGAUGUCUGUUGGCUGAGAGGUCACUGGCAUCUACCACAAAUAGCAUGUGAUGCAAAGUGAAUAAGAAAGAUGACAAGCAAAGUUUGAUAGAAGUAAAGAAAGGCGGUAGACAACAGAAAGGCCAAGCCCCCCCAUGAGGAAUCCUUGAAAGGACGAUGAAUGCUCGUGAUAAUUGGCAACACGAACACACCCACAAUUUCCAGUAUAUUAAGGAUAACAGAGCAUCUAAAACCAGUGACAUGCUAAAAGAAAAUGUGGUCAACUGGAAAAGAAGGAAAAGAAACCCCAAAACAAAUCAUGUUACAAAACAGGCAAAAGAAAAGUAAAGAGCAGUGGACUCGACACCAUGCAUCAGACUGCACAAAUAAUAAGAUGCCUGUAAAAAUGUCCCUUCCAGAAGGGAGGCCAGCCGAGGGCCUCUGGCCUGCCCUCUCAGCGUGGCAGGGCCGGGUCCCCGGGGGGGAAAAGGAGCGCACACAGUGGUGUGGGAAAUGAAAUCGAAGACGCCAGGGACACUGAUUUGGUUAGCCCAGUCACUCCACUGUGAACUUCGGGUCACACGCAGUUAAGGGCGGAAGGGGAAGGCAGGAAGUAUUCUAAUGAGAAUUCAAUUAAUUCAAGGAAUCUCAGAAACCAGGUGUAAACUCUGCCGGAUAUUAAAAGAUCCCUGAGAGGAGACAGGGUUUCGGAGCGCGUCAGAUCAAUUUGUGAGGCGCUGGCAAAUUGGCAGCUGCCCGGCUGCAGCCCCGGCCCCCCCCCAACAGGUCCCAGUAAUUGCAUCUUG